CUUGAUGGAGCCGAGCAGCAGCGGCCGGUCGGCGGGGCGGUCCUGGCCGUAGGUGGCGAGCAGCGCCUGGGCCUC
rnacentral:antisense_RNA from 1 species